UGCCCAGCAACUCCUAUCCUUACCUCCUUGUGGUACUCGGCCGGGGUAACAGCAAUCUCUGGGAAGAUCAGGUAACCAACCCCAGUGGGAACUUUGGUCGUAUGCUGACAGGGAAGG
rnacentral:ribozyme from 1 species